GUAGGUGGCAAGCGUUGUCCGGGAAUUAUUGGGGCGUAAAGCGCGCGCAGGCGGUUCUUUAAGUCUGAUGUGAAAGCCCACGGGCUCAACCGUGGGAGGGUCAUUGGAAACUGGAGAACUUGAGUACAGAAGAGGAAAGCGGAAUUCCACGUGUAGCGGUGAAAUGCGUAGAGAUGUGGAGGAACACCAGUGGCGAAGGCGGCUUUCUGGUCUGUAACUGACGCUGAGGCGCGAAAGCGUGGGGAGCAAACAGGAUUAGAUACCCUGGUAGUCCACGCCGUAAACGAUGAGUGCUAAGUGUUAGGGGGUUUCCGCUCCUUAGUGCUGCAGCUAACGCAUUAAGCACUCCGCCUGGGGAGUACGGCCGCAAAGGCUG
rnacentral:rRNA from 1 species